rnacentral:rRNA from 1 species
UUAAAUUGAAGAGUUUGAUCAUGGCUCAGAUUGAACGCUGGCGGCAGGCCUAACACAUGCAAGUCGAACGGUAACAGGAAGCAGCUUGCUGCUUCGCUGACGAGUGGCGGACGGGUGAGUAAUGUCUGGGAAACUGCCUGAUGGAGGGGGGUAACUACUGGAAACGGUAGC